rnacentral:tRNA from 1 species
GGCUUAUUACUUUAAAUUAAAAGGUUUGAUUUGCAUUCAAAAAAUAAGUCUUAGACUUUUAGGCCA